rnacentral:rRNA from 1 species
CUAAGCAUAUCAAUAAGCGGAGGAAAAGAAACCAACUGGGAUUGCCUUAGUAACGGCGAGUGAAGCGGCAAUAGCUCAAAUUUGAAAGCUGGCGCNUUCGGCGUCCGCGUUGUAAUUUGUAGAGGAUGCUUCGGCGAGGACUCCUGCCUAAGUUCCCUGGAAUGGGACGUCACAGAGGGUGAGAAUCCCGUAUGUGGCGGGCGGUCCAAGCCAUGUGAAGCUCCUUCGACGAGUCGAGUUGUUUGGGAAUGCAGCUCUAAAUGGGAGGUAAAUUUCUUCUAAAGCUAAAUACCGGCCAGAGACCGAUAGCGCACAAGUAGAGUGAUCGAAAGAUGAAAAGCACUUUGGAAAGAGAGUUAAAAAGUACGUGAAAUUGUUGAAAGGGAAGCGCUUGCAACCAGACUCGCUCGCAGUUGCUCAGCCUGCCUCUUGGCGGGUGUACUCUUCUGUGAUCGGGCCAGCAUCAGUUCGGGCGGCCGGAUAAAGGUGUCGGGAAUGUAGCACCCUUCGGGGUGUGUUAUAGCCCGGCGCGGAAUGCGGCCAGCCUGGACUGAGGAUCUCGCUUCGGCAAGGAUGCUGGCGUAAUGGUUGUAAGCGGCCCGUCUUGAAACACGGACCAAGGAGUCUAACAUCUAUGCGAGUGUUUGGGUGUCAAACCCAUGCGCGUAAUGAAAGUGAACGGAGGUGGGAACCCGCAAGGGUGCACCAUCGACCGAUCCUGAUGUCUUCGGAUGGAUUUGAGUAAGAGCAUAGCUGUUGGGACCCGAAAGAUGGUGAACUAUGCCUGAAUAGGGUGAAGCCAGAGGAAACUCUGGUGGAGGCUCGCAGCGGUUCUGACGUGCAAAUCGAUCGUCAAAUUUGGGUAUANGGGCGAAAGACUAAUCGAACCAUCUAGUAGCUGGUUCCUGCCGAA